GCGAGAGAGGCGGAAUCGGCAGACGCGCGGGAUUAAGGAUCCCGUGGUGCAACCCUAGGGGGUUCAACUCCCCCCUCUCGCACCA
rnacentral:tRNA from 1 species